GGAAUAUUGCACAAUGGGGGAAACCCUGAUGCAGCGACGCCGCGUGAGUGAAGAAGUAUCCCGGUACGUAAAGCUCUAUCAGCAGGGAAGAAAAAAAGUCUUUGGCUUUGGAUGGUACCUGACUAAGAAGCCCCGGCUAACUACGUGCCAGCAGCCGCGGUAAUACGUAGGGGGCAAGCGUUAUCCGGACUUACUGGGUGUAAAGGGAGCGUAGAAGGCAGCGCAAGGCUGGAGUGAAAUGCCGGGGAUCAACGCCGGAACUGCUUUGGAAACUGUGCAGCUAGAGUGCGGGAGAGGUAAGCGGAAUUCCUAGUGUAGCGGUGAAAUGCGUAGAUAUUAGGAGGAACACCAGUGGCGAAGGCGGCUUGCUGGACCGUAACUGACGUUGAGGCUCGAAAGCGUGGGGAGCAA
rnacentral:rRNA from 1 species